rnacentral:rRNA from 1 species
ACGGGAGGCGCAGUGGGGAAUAUUGCACAAUGGGCGAAAGCCUGAUGCAGCGACGCCGCGUGAGUGAAGAAGUAUUUCGGUAUGUAAAGCUCUAUCAGCAGGGAAGAUGAUGACGGUACCUGACUAAGAAGCCCCGGCUAACUACGUGCCAGCAGCCGCGGUAAUACGUAGGGGGCAAGCGUUAUCCGGAUUUACUGGGUGUAAAGGGAGCGUAGGCGGCGAUGCAAGUCAGAUGUGAAAACCCGGGGCUCAACCCCGUGGACUGCAUUUGAAACUGUAUUGCUAGAGUAUCGGAGAGGUUAGUGGAAUUCCUAGUGUAGCGGUGAAAUGCGUAGAUAUUAGGAAGAACACCGGUGGCGAAGGCGGCUAACUGGACGAAAACUGACGCUGAGGCUCGAAAGCGUGGGGAGCAAACAGGAUUAGAUACCCUGGUA